GUAGCAUGACAAAUACGAACGUAUCCUAGAAAAUACAAUGGAAAACAAUUAUGUACUAUAUCUGUAGCUAUGAAGCUCAUGAUAAAAUAUAAAUAAACAUGGUUUAAAUAUAAUGUUCGACAGUUGUAUAUUUAAUGUCAUCAUGUACACCAUUUGAGUCAUUUGUAUCACUUAGUCUCAGCACUAAUGUUACGAGAAAAUAAUCUGUGCAAUAAUUUAUGUGACGACAAAAGAGCGCAAGAGUCGUACAGAUACUUAGAUUUUAAUUUGUCUUUCGUGGUAGCAUAGCAAGUUUAAUAAAAAUAGCCAAAAUAUUUGAUAUAAUCCCUCACAUUCUCUCCAGUUUAACCUUUUGGCGGCAACAGUCGGCUGUGGCCGUCAUCGGAAAGUUUAGCCAACGACGGCUACAGCCGACAGCUUCGCCAAUGCAAUAGGGACUUACGCGGGACUCCGUAAAGUUCAAUUUAGCUUAAAUAAUCGCGAUCGCCUGGCGUCCGGGGCACGGCAUAUUCUUUCGCCGUCUGGCGUUCAAGUAAAUAUUUUGGCCACUUUUAUUAAUUAAUGUUUUUCAGAGUCGAGAUUAGGCUUCUGCUUGUUUGACUUUUAACAACACGAGGGACGAAUUUAAAAUUUAAUUCGUGUAUGACCUUAAAGUGAAAUACUAGUGGGGGAUAUUUAAUAAUACGGGGUGUUGCAAGGUAUCUCGGCGCACUAACUUAUAUUCGGGUAUCGGUCGGCUGCGGGCAUGUUAAGUCAUCUGGUUAUUGUUACUAUAAUUUUAUUUCGGGUUCAGACCUUUUGUAAAUUGCAACACCUUUGAAUAUAGUGAUGGCUUGUAUAUUUGUAUUUGUAAGAUAUGUUGGUUUACAAAUCAGUAUUUUAAUAUUUGUGUGACAUUCCAGAUUCUAUUGUAACAUUUUAUAAACUUAAAUUAGUUUCAUUUGCUGCAUCUUUAUUUCCAUAACUUGAAAUAGCUCUCUUUGUUGUUUCUUAAUAUGCAGUUGCAUGCAUAGAAAAAUGAUAAUUUGCCAAGAAUAAUGUAUUUAAGAAUUAAUAAGAUCUAUGUUGUUUUUUUAUUUGAUUUUUUCAUAUUUUCGGUAAUGAACUCAGUUGUAUUUAGAAACGUAUCGUCAUUUUCAGUUACGUUUAUUUUUGUGGUCGUGCUAUAUAUAUUAUUUAAACUACGGGGCUGUCGCGAGUACUGAGGUUAGAUUACUUGGGGAUAAAAGCAUUUUGUCUCUGUCUCACUGGAGUCGUGGGAAAGAGACAAAACAAAACCCUAUCGCAGGCUUGUUAAGACCUUCGAAUCGUGCGCCCAAGGUAGUACUUAUUGAUACUGCACUUUAUUUUAAUUAAGUUUUUUUUACUUGUGUUGUAUAAGUUUUACAUCAAAUACAGCGUGAUAUAUAUUUGA